AUUGAACGCUGGCGGCAGGCCUAACACAUGCAAGUCGAGCGGAGCGGCGGACGGGUGAGUAAUGCCUAGGAAUCUGCCUGGUAGUGGGGGAUAACGUCCGGAAACGGGCGCUAAUACCGCAUACUAUCAGAUGAGCCUAGGUCGGAUUAGCUAGUGGGUGGGGUAAAGGCCUACCAAGGAGACGAUCCGUAACGGGUCUGAGAGGAUGAUCAGUAAAAUGGGAACGGAGAAACGGCCCAGCCCACUACGGGAGGAAGAAGUGGGGAAUAUUGGACAAGGGGCGAAAGCAUGAUCCAGCCAUGCCGGGUGUGUGAAGAAGGUCUUCGGAUUUAAAAGCACUUUAAGUUGGGAGGCGUUACCAACAGAAUAAGCACCGGCUACCUCCGUGCAAGCAGCCGCGUAAUAC
rnacentral:rRNA from 1 species